UUGAAAAUGUGUUAAACCGAUGACCUUAGCUUUGAAAAUGUGUAAAAACAAUGACCUUAGCUUUGAAAAUGUGUAAAACCGAUGACCUUAGCUUUGAAAAUGUGUUAAAACGAUGACCUUAGCUUUGAAAAUGUGUAAAAACAAUGACCUUAGCUUUGAAAAUGUGUAAAAACAAUGACCUUAGCUUUGAAAAUGUGUUAAAACGAUGACCUUAGCUUUGAAAAUGUGUAAAAUGAUGACCUUAGCUUUGAAAAUGUGUAAAAUCAAUGACCUUAGCUUUGAAAAUGUGUAAAAUCAAUGACCUUAGCUUUGAAAAUGUGUAAAAUCAAUGACCUUAGCUUUGAAAAUGUGUAAAAUCAAUGACCUUAGCUUUGAAAAUGUGUGAAAAUGAUGACCUUAGCUUUGAAAAUGUGUAAAAUCAAUGACCUUAGCUUUGAAACUGUGUAAAAACCAUGACCUUAGCUUUGAAAGUGUGUUAAACCGAUGACCUUAGCUUUGAAAAUGUGUAAAACGAUGACCUUAGCUUUGAAAAUGUGUAAAAUGAUGAUAAAUACCAAGAAAAAUGUAUAAACAGAUGACACAUGCCUUGAAUAAUUAUAAAACAGAUGACUUAAACUUUGAAAAUUGAUAGAGAGAUAAUCUAAGCCUCAAAAAUGGGUGAUAGGAUGAUAGAAACCUGAAAAAUUGUAAAAAUAUGACCCAACAUAACUAAAUGAAACUUACGUAUUUGUUCCAACCUAAUACAUGAGGAAUUUAAGAUGGUAACAAAUCAAUGAGUGAUGAUUCGCAUAUUAAAAAUCAGAAUAAAAGAGUGGAAAGCAGAAUAGCCGGGUGAAAUUCUAAAUAAAUACCUAUAUGUCAAGGAGCAUAAUGAGAUGGGUGUAAUUCUAUGUAAAUACCAAUACAUCAAGCAGUGUAAUGGGUCGGGUGUUAUUCUGCAUAAAUACCAAAAUGUCAAGGAGUAGAGUUGGGUGCAAUUCUAUGUAAAUACCCAAAUAUCAAGCAGCAUAAUGAGAUGGGUGUGAUUCCAAACAAAUACCAAGCUGCGGAAAGUUGGGUGUCAUUCUAUAUAAAUACCAAAAUAUCAAGCAGCACGAGAUGGGUGUAAUUCCAAACAAAUACCAAGGUGACAGCUGCGGAAAGUCGGGUGUCAUUCUGGAUAAACACCUCGUGCAAAGGAAAGGGCGCAGCGGGUGGUGGCCUGCGUGCCGAGCUAACAAGGGCUGAGAGUGGCUGUGUCGGGGGAUAUAAGACAACCUGAGACCUCUACGAGUAAGUACACUUAUGGGGCGCCGCUGCAGGUCGCUCGCCAUGCGUUGCGGCGGCGCGGGCAAGGCAACGAACACACACGCACACACGCCUCCACACCCUGACCUGACCACGUGUUGCUCCACCUGCUGCUUCGUUCAUCUUGGGGUUCGGUUAGUUUAUGUUUGCGGACUUUAUGCUAAUGGACGCUUUUUAACUUUUUUCAUUUAUUACGUGUUUUGUCUAUUGUUGUCAUCAAAUGAACGGUCUAUUUUGUAUAGUUCUGUCUGUUAGUUGUCAUUAUUAUUAUUAUUAUUAUUAUUAUUAUUAUUAUUAUUAUUAUUAUUAUUAUUAUUACAGUUGUCCCUCAAUUAGUACGUUUUCCAAUAGUUCGGUUUUGUUUUUAUGUGGAUUUUCUAAGAUUUUAUUAGGAUUUUUAAAUUUCCCAACGAGCAGGAAAUUUAAAAAUCCUUAAUUAAAAGAUUUUCUAUGACAAUCCGUAUAAAACCGAAACUGAACUAUUGGAAACUGUACUAUUUGAGGGAUGACUGUAUUAUUAUUAUUAUUACGGCUAUUAAAAGUUUAGCGUUAGUUGUUUCUUGAUGGUUUUCCAACUUAAUAUCAACAGGCACUUUGUUUUCUUUACUAUGACCAUUCUUACCAUGACUAAACAGCAACUAUUUUAGCAUCAGUUAUAUCUGUCGACCCUUUCCAACUUUACCGUUUGUUAUUUUUCUUUCUAUCAUUGCUCGGGAAUUAUAAGUUAAGCUUCAUUUAUUACGUUUUUUUAGGCCAUAUCGCUGUAACAAAGGACUGUCUCCGUUUCCAAUCAUGAUCAUUAAUUCCAGGUUGCGUAAUUUUCUGUAUUCGCUUUGCAUCCUUUCUCGGCCGGUCUACUUAACAUCAUCAUCAUAUUCACGAGUUUUCCUUAUCUUUAUUUAUGACAUUUUUAUCGCCGCCAUUGCUUGGUAACCACCACCCACAACUUGUCCCCUAAGCCCCGCCCCCUUGGCUGAGGAUAUUACGUUGAUGGAAAUGAUGACCUACGCCUUGAAAGUGCGCAAAAAGGGCGGGGGUGUCGGAGGGGGACUUACGGGACAGGCUGGCCAGUGGUGAUCGUAAAAUUCCUGCGUAUCACAUCCAUAAUUAACCCGGUAGCAGCGACGGGCCAAAUUUGUGGCUUCACCAUGUAGCAGCGACGGGCCAAAUUUGUGGCUUCACCAUGUAGCAGCUAAGGGCCAAAUUUGUACCAUGAUAUUUACCCCCAAGAAUAGAUGAUACAUAUUCUGAUCACUAAUGCUUUGAUAUAUAUUAUGAAAUGGUUUGUGUGAGGGGUGAUUUUUUCUCAUUUUUCUUGCUUGGGGGGACCAUUAAGAAACAUGAUCCCCGCUGCUACCGGGAUACCGAAAAACCAUCAUCACCACUUUCAUUCUUCACCAUCACAUCAAACUAUCACAUAGACGAUUCUUUCUCCUGGAACGGAAAUAAAACACAAGCAAGGAAUGAGAAUGAAGAUGCUUUCCUAAACAGACCGUACUGGCUACCCACGCGGCCACGCUCCACCAGCCGCCUGGAGGACUAUUUUACCUCAUGACAUCCAUUAUUUUUCUAUUUCAGGAUUCCCAAAUACAAGUUAUUAUCCUUAGUUGUAUAAUCACACUCUGUACUGCCUGGGGGUUGGGAUGGCAUGCUCCUCCCUUCUCCUUUGUUGUUUACUUGCAACAAUAAACUAUCAAUCAAUCAAUCAGUUAUUGUUUGGAGCGAAAUGUCCAAACACUGCUGGUCGGGAAAAAAAUUAUACCAUCUAUUGUUUGUAAGUUGUAAGGUUUGCGUCUAUGUGUGAUUUAUGUGACCGCUGAGUGACGAAUCAGGAAAAUAAUUAUACCAUCUAUUGCUAAGGUUUGCGUCUAUGUAUGAUUUAUAUGACCGCUGAGUGACGAAUGUGUGCCACCCGUACCCACCUCGGCACGGCCCCACACUGGCCUAAAGCAUCAUAAGAUAUUUUGUCUCCUAGAUAUUUUGUUUGUGGCUGUAUUUUCCUCUCUAAUUUCUCUAGUAUAAUUUAACCGUGUAGCAGCGACGGGCCAAAUUUGUGGCUUUCCCGUGUAGAAGCGACGGGCCAAAUUUGUGGCUUUACUGUGUAGAAGCGACGGGCCAAAUUUGUGGCUUUACCGUGUAGCAGCGACGGGCCAAAUUUGUGGCUUUACCGUGUAGAAGCGAUGGGCCAAAUUUGUGCCAUGAUAUAAACCACUCCAAAAACAUGAUACAUAAUCUGAUCACAAAUGCUUUGAUAUAUAUUAUGAAAUGGUUUGUGUGAGGGGUGAUUUUUUCUCAUUUUUCUCGCUUAGAGGGACCAUUAAGAAACAUGAUCCCCGCUGCUACUGGGUUAAUUUGGUGUUAGAUGGUUAUUAUUUACGGUGUGGUUAUUUCUACUGCUGGUGCUGCGGUAGACAUCACCGAAACUGUUAAUCCGUUGAUAAACAAACGGUGCAGCGGCCCUGUCACCACGGAGACGCACACGAGGGGCCUCACGCAGCGGAGAGGUGGACUGAUAGCCAAUACGGUCUAUUCACAAUACGGAAACUCAUGAGAGAGAGAAUGAGCCUAUUUUUUUUCCUACACACCAUUAAAAGUUAAAUUACCUAAAACACAUGAAUGAAAAAAUACAGGUGUAAAAAUUAUUGGUAUAGUAGAACUCCCAAUAAAGAUCAUUACCACCCCAUAAAAAUCAAUAAAAUCAACUUGGUCUAGGGUAAUAAUGCCAAUUAGUACGCACGACCCCAACUGUACUCACAACAGGGAUGGAACUGCCCUGGAAUAGUGUUCUAAAAGCGUGAAAGACAAGGAGAACAAGAACAUGGAUAAAAGGAACAAGAAGAACCAAAAUGAAAACAGGAACAACUAAGGUAAGGUAAGGUAAGGUAAGGUAAGGUAAGGUAAGGUAAGGUAAGGUAAGGUAAGGUAAGGUAAGGUAAGGUAAGGUAAGGUAAGGUAAGGUAAGGUAAGGUAAGGUAAGGUAAGGUAAGGUAAGGUAAGGUAAGGUAAGGUAAAGUAAGGUAAGGUAAGGUAAGGUAAGGUAAGGUAAGGUAAGGUAAGGUAAGGUAAGGUAAGGUAAGGUAAGGUAAGGUAAGGUAAGGUAAGGUAAGGUAAGGUAAGGUAAGGGAAUAAAACAAGAACAAGAAUAAAAACAAGAACGCAAAAUAAAAACAAGAACGAGAAUAAAAAUAAAAAGAACAAGAAUAAAAAUAAAAAGAACAAGAAUAAAAAAGAACGAGAAUAAAACAAGAACGAAAAUAAAAAACGAGAACGAAAAUAAACAAGAACGAGAAUAACAAUAAAAAAACAAGAAAAGAACCAGAACAAGAACCGCCUCACGAUUCUUCCCGACGAGUACUAAUUGGAACCGUGCGUACAUAUUGGCACGGACACACACCACCCUGGACAACAAAACCCCACACCCACCAAACACUACCGAGGCGAAGCAACACAGCGCACUCUGGAAACACGAGAACCUGGAACAUAUGCAUGACAAUAAAUAAGAAAUGAAUGACAAAAAAAAGGGCUUUCCGACGCAAUGAUGAUGAUGGCACGCUAUACACACAUACGAACAAACGACGCUUCCGAGAUGUGCCGGGUACGCUGCAUGUGUGUAUGUGUGGUAAUGGUCUGUUACUCCGAGAUCCGUGGCUCUGAUUGACGGAUUAAGGAACUUUUACCACAUGUAUUGCUGCAGGUGUUUGAUCAUAGUUUAGUGGUUGAUCUUUUUCUUGAUUCUUGCUCCGUUUCCGAGACCUGGGUUAUGAAACGUCAAUUAUUUCCAUACAUGUCCGUCUUGCAAUAUAUCAAUCCCUUAUUCUUUGCUUUUAGUGAUCCUCCCUCUGUUUCCGAGACCUUGGAUAUGAAACGUCAAUUAUCUUCCCUACAUGUCUGUCUUGCAAUAUAUCAAUCCCUUAUUCUUUGCUUUUAAUAAUACUUGCUCUGUUUCCGAGACCUGGGUUAUGAAACGUCAAUCAUUUUCCCUACAUGUCUGUCUUGCAAUAUAUCAAUCCCUUAUUCUUUGCUUUUAGUGAUUCUCCCUCUGUUUCCGAGACCUAGGUUAUGAAACGUCAAUUAUCUUCCCUACAUGUCUGUCUUGCAAUAUAUCAAUCCCUUAUUCUUUGCUUUUAUUAAUUCUCGCUCUGUUUCUGAGACCUAGGUUAUGAAACAUCAAUCAUUUUCCCUACAUGUCUGUCUCGCAAUAUAUCAAUCCCUUAUUCUUUGCAUUUAUUAAUUCUCGCUCUGUUUCCGAGACCUAGGUUAUGAAACGUCAAUUACUGGUCAGAUUUGUGCAUUAGUCUGAUUUCGCCGUUUUCAUUUCUUUUCUGGAUUCUUCAGGUUGAUAUUCCUUGCAUACUUAUUCUUCCGAUUAUACGAAAUUUCUGCUUAUCAUUCCGCUUCUUAUCAUUAUUUUGUUUCUGCCUUUUAACGAAUUUAACUUUAAUAUUUUUGCGUCUUUUUUUCUGCAUUUUGAUUAAGUUAUUUUCAUUCUGUUGACGUUCUCGAGUACUUAUUCUGAGGUCCGGUUAUGUAAAAUUUCUGCCUGUCAAACAUUUUCCCCUUAUCCUCUGCAUGUCACCUUCUCCCAUCUCGCCGGCUUACGCACACCAUCUUCCGAGUCACUUAUAUUAAUUACGGCUUAGGACACAUAAACACAUGCAUAGUAAACUCGUAAAAAAUGCUCGCCCCUCACAUCCAACAUUACGCAAGGUGCAAAGAAACAAACCCUCUACCUGUCCGUCCCUCCGUGCGAAUAACGUACAAACACCAACGUACGGCACUCCCAGCAAAGACGUGGAGGUUGUAUUCGACUAUUUACGCUUUCAAGGUGCUCUGAGGUCUGCUAUGUCGCCGUUACGCUAUUACGAAAAUAAAUCUCGGGCUAUGUGUAUUACUUUUUUUCUUAAGACGUAAUUGUAACAGCCAGGAGCUAAGUGUCUGGCGUGGAAAUGAAAGGUAAAUGUGUUGUUGGCACCAAUGUUUCCUUUGUAUAUGUAAAGGAAAUCCUCGAGUUACAACAUAUGUGACUUAACAACCACCCUGUCAGUCCCGAGCCCCGUUGCGACUCAAGGACUCCCUGUAUACCUAUUAUAUAUAUAUGUAUACGCACGUAGUUAUGUAUAAGAUAAUGUAUAUAUAUAUAUUCUUAAUGUAUGCAGAUAUAAAACGGGGGAGAAAUCAGAAGUACGGCAUAUAUAACGUCACGCAAAAUGCCUCCCCCCUAGUCCUAACAACGUGAGGGGUAAGUACACAGGUUGGGGAGGUCAGGUCAGGUCAACCGUCCACAGUAAGGUCAGUAGCGAAUGACCUUAUAUAUUUUUUUUGGGGGGAGUGAAGUUUUUAUAUUUAGGUUUUUGGUGCAUUGUUCCUUCACCUGUUUAUUUUUUAGUCACUACGCUUCAUUCUUUCAACUGCUCUGGAAACACUUCACUACUCUCUCCGUUACUCUUGUUAUAUAACGCCUCACUCCUUCCACUUUUCUCAAUACAUGCGAGAUCAAAUGUCAGUUACUAGAGCUCAACCUGAUCUGAUCCUUAUGUUUGCUCGUGUCCGCGCUUCCUCAUCAAUUCAUCUUGUUUGUCAAUACGUAACACUUCACUUCUUAAACUUCCCUCAAUAUGUAAGAGAUCUAACACCAAUUACUAGAGUCCAACCUGAUCUGAUCCUUCUGUUUGCUAGUGUCCGUGUUUUUCCUUGUCAAUUCUUCUGUUUUUCUUCAUUACGUAAUGCUUCACUUCCUCCGCUUCUCUCAAUACGUACAAAGUCAAACGUCACUCACAAAUGUUCAACCUGAUAUGAUUCUUCUCUUCAAUGGUGUGUUUUCCUCAUCAAUUCAUCUUCCGUUUUUCUUCAUUACGUAACGCUUCACUUCCUCUGCUUCUCUCAAUACGUAAGAACUCAAGACAUCAC